rnacentral:rRNA from 1 species
UACGUAGGGUGCGAGCGUUAUCGGAAUUACUGGGCGUAAAGCGUGCGCAGGCGGUGAUGUAAGACCGAUGUGAAAUCCCCGGGCUUAACCUGGGAAUGGCAUUGGUGACUGCACGGCUAGAGUGUGUCAGAGGGGGGUAGAAUUCCACGUGUAGCAGUGAAAUGCGUAGAGAUGUGGAGGAAUACCGAUGGCGAAGGCAGCCCCCUGGGAUAACACUGACGCUCAUGCACGAAAGCGUGGGGAGCAAACAGG